CCCUUAGAUGUUCUGGGCCGCACGCGUGCUACACUGAGUGGAUCAGCGGGUCAGGUUGCGCGAAAGCGUUUCCUAAUCUUUAAAUCCGCUCGUGAUGGGGAUUGACGGUUGCAAUUUUCUGUCAUGAACGAGGAAUACCUUGUAAGCGCGGGUCAUCAUCCCGCGCUGAAUACGUCCCUGCCCUUUGUACACACCGCCCGUCGCUCCUACCGAUUGAGUGGUCCGGUGAGGCUUUGGGAUCUGAGCGGAAAGCGCGUUUCGCUGUUUCUGCUCGGAAAACUCAGUCGAACCUUAUCAUUUAGAGGAAGGAGAAGUCGUAACA
rnacentral:rRNA from 1 species